rnacentral:rRNA from 1 species
UACGAGGGGGGCGAGCGUUGUUCGGAAUUAUUGGGCGUAAAGGGUGCGUAGGCGGUUUGGUAAGCCUGAUGUGAAAUCUAUGGGCUCAACUCAUAGUCUGCAUCGGAAACUGCCGGGCUUGAGUGUGGGAGAGGUGAGUGGAAUUCCUGGUGUAGCGGUGAAAUGCGUAGAUAUUGGGAGGAACACCAGUGGCGAAGGCGGCUUCCUGGCCUGUUCUUGACGCUGAGGCGCGAAAGCUAGGGGAGCAAACGGG